rnacentral:rRNA from 1 species
GACGAACGCUGGCGGCGUGCUUAACACAUGCAAGUCGAACGGAAAGGCCCUGCUUUUGUGGGGUGCUCGAGUGGCGAACGGGUGAGUAACACGUGAGUAACCUGCUCUUGACUUUGGGAUAACUUCAGGAAACUGGGGCUAAUACCGGAUAGGAGCUCCUGCUGCAUUGUGGGGGUUGGAAAGUUUCGGCGGUUGGGGAUGGACUCGCGGCUUAUCAGCUUGUUGGUGGGGUAGUGGCUUACCCAGGCUUUGACGGGUAGCCGGCCUGAGAGGGUGACCGGCCACAUUGGGACUGAGAUACGGCCCAGAGUCCUACGGGAGGCAGCAGGGGGGAAUAUUGCACAAUGGGCGGAAGCCUGAUGCAGCAGCGCCGCGUGCGGGAUGACGGCCUUCGGGGUGUAAACCGCUUUCGCCUGUGACGAAGCGUGAGUGACGGUAAUGGGUAAAGAAGCACCGGCUAACUACGUG